CCGUGCUACGUGGGGCGCUAGGGGUGUCCUGUAGCCCGAAACCCUCUACAUGCGGGGCGGAAUGCCCGCCGAAGGGUGGUGGGGUCCCGUGGUGAGCGGCCGGCACGCGGCGUUGACGGCCGGGUCCUACGCAGCGGACCGUUCGUGAACCGGGUCAGGUCCGGGAGGAAGCAGCCCUAAGCGAGGCGCUCCGGGUGCCGUGGGAGUGCCGGGCCCGAGUUGGCGACCGGCUCGCGCUAUCGGAUCCACAUUCGACGGCGGGCUGCUCGG
rnacentral:SRP_RNA from 1 species